rnacentral:rRNA from 1 species
UACGUAGGGGGCAAGCGUUGUCCGGAAUCAUUGGGCGUAAAGCGCGUGUAGGCGGUCCGGUAAGUCCGCUGUGAAAGUCGGGGGCUCAACCCUCGGAUGCCGGUGGAUACUGUCGGGCUUGAGUCCGGAAGAGGCGAGUGGAAUUCCUGGUGUAGCGGUGAAAUGCGCAGAUAUCAGGAGGAACACCGAUGGCGAAGGCAGCUCGCUGGGACGGUACUGACGCUGAGGCGCGAAAGCGUGGGGAGCAAACAGG